rnacentral:misc_RNA from 1 species
GAUGAAGAACGCAGCGAAAUGCGAUAAGUAGUGUGAAUUGCAGAAUUCAGUGAAUCAUCGAAUGUUUGAACGCACAUUGCGCCCCUUGGUAUCCCGAGGGGCAUGCCUGUUCGAGCGUCAUUUCACCACUCAAGCCUGGCUUGGUGUUGGGCGACGUCCUCUUUGGGGACGCGCCUCGAAACGCUCGGCGGCGUGGCACCGGCUUUAAGCGUAGCAGAAUCUUUCGCUUUGGAAGUCGGGGCCCCGUCUGCCGGAAGACCUGCUCGCAAGGUUGACCUCGGAUCAGGCAGGGAUACCCGCUGAACUUAAGCAUAUCAAUAAGCGGAGGA